AACGAUGUCUGUGAAAGAGGUGCUGA
rnacentral:piRNA from 1 species